AACUUAGACAGAGAUCAACAAAGAAAAGUGUUUCAUUACAAGAGAAAAGAGAUUCUCAGACAAAAAUAGAAAUUCAUGACACCAUUCCUGUAGGUGGAAGACUAACAUUUUUAGGCACGGGGGCAGCAAACUACCUCAGACUGAUGGGUUCUUUCAGUGAUGAUAAAUGGGUACCAAUUAGAACUAUCAGGUAUCCCAAGAAGAAACUUAUGUUCAACAGUUCACUCAGCUACAGCAGAAAAUGCUCAUAGAAAGCAUUCCAGGGAAAGAAAAGUUCCAGGGCACCUAUUCAAUAAAAUUUUUG